UAACCAAAGGAGAAGGGCCUGGCCGCCUGGCCUUGGUUUCCUCCUAGGCAGGGUUCCAGCCCCACGGUCUUGGUUGGCCAGCUGAAGAAGACUCCUGCUGCCAUUGCCUUGUGCAGGCGGCCAGGCCUCUUCCCAGCGAGCCGCAAGGACAGCCACCUGCGCUCUCUCGGCCCUUCCCCACCCCGCCCUCCAAGGGUUAGAAGGAUAAGGGAAGACAGCUCCCCUCCUUACUCUCAGGCACCCACAGAUUUCCGCGCUGCCGUCACCACUGACGAGAACCCAGGUCCCCAGGAGGAAUCGCUUCUCCUCAUUCCAUCCUCCCUAUCAAUGAACACGCAGCAACACCCACGCUCCCGCUCCUCCUACUCCGGAGGGAGACCGAACCCGAGAGCGACAUCCGGAGCUGGAAGCUGCUGCGGUCAAGUGGCUGCAGAAUGUUUCCAGUCCCGAGGGUUGGGAUGUUGCUUUGGCAAUGGAAGGCAGUUUUUGCAUCACUGGGCCUGAUUUUAGCCCCUGGACUUCAAGGGGAUUCCUCAUGGUCGGAAGAUUUUGAAACUGUGCGGUUCCCUGCCCAGCGUGGAGCCCAACGUGUGGCUUGAACUCAUGAUGCUAAACUCAAGAACUGAGCUGAGAUCAAGAGUUGGACACUUGAAUGACUGAGCCACUCAGAUGAGAAAAGUAAAUUCAGAGAGUUAAAGGACUAACCCAAGAUGGUUAGAAGAACCAGAAGGUGAAAUCCAUGCUCUGGAUUUCAGUAACUUAUGGUCAACACUAGUAUUUGCUCAACAGGUGAUAGCCAGCAGGUUUUAAAUUGCUAAUCUCCUGUCACCCCCAGACACACAUCUGGGCCAUCUUCUCCUCAUGACCAAUCAGCGUCUGCUCCUAGUGAAAUAAUCUUUGGUGAAAUCUGUACGGAAGAACAAGGACAUGCAUUUUCUAGCCAGGCAUUAAUGAGACCCAUACUACUGCUUAUCUCUAUUACUCUGAAAAAUACACUUGAAUCACUCCUUUAUUGUAUCCAUCAAUGAAAUCACCAAUUUCAGUAAUUCUCAGUCCUCCUGAAGUCAACAAAUACUAGGAUGUCACCAAUUUUUUAAGAGAUGUUGUAGAAGUUACACAUUCAUUCUGAAAACAAGAAAAGCAAACACCCUUGUCCUAAAAACAACCCGCACGGAAUUGAAAAGUGUGACCUUCGCCAUCAAAUAUCUGAACUCUUCUACUUCAAGUAACUCUGUUAAUACUGCUUCCACUCCAGAAGUCACCUAAACUUUGUAAACUUUAGUUUUGCAUGGCUAAUAGAGAUAAAAGUGUACUAGCUUCGUAAGUGUCUUGUGGUUAUUUAAAAAAAGCCAGCACAGGGAAUAGCUUACAGACUUAGAAACAACAAAGUGAUGUCAAAUAGGAGUGGUGAUGAGGUGAAGAAUAUUAAGCAGGUGAAUGGGAAAGAGAGUGAGGUAGAAGAGGACGCUUGGACAGGGCAGAUGGGGAAGGCUGGUGUUGCAGAGGAGAUGCUUAAGCUCAGGGCUGAAUAUCCUGCAGGAGGUGGACAUGCCAGAGGAAGGCUGUGGUGCCCAGCUUCAGUGUGGAAGCCCCGAGCUCAAGUUCUCAUUCUGCUACUUCUCACCUCCUUCAUGGUAGACACAUCCAGAUCUCACCACAUUCCUGCUCUGCAAAAAGAAAUGAUCAUGAAGUAGGUGCCUGGGUGGCUCCAUUGGUUGGACGACUGCCUUCAGCUCAGGUCAUGUCCAGGGUCCUGGGAUCGAGUCCCACAUCGGGCUCCCUGCUCCUGUCCUCUCUCACUAUCUCUGUCUCGCUCUCUCCAAUAAAUAAAUUAAAUCUUAAAAAAACAAAACAAAACAUUACUUUCAUUUAUCCACUCACUUUCUCACAUUUCUUUAUUUCCUCAUUCCAUGUCAAGCUCGCUCCGGCAGCACAUAGACUCAUUCAUUGCUCAGGGUUGUUGAAGUCCUGCUGUAAGCCAGAAACUAGAUCGGCACUGGAAGAGCUCUUACAUGUCUGCUUUACAGU